AGCGAACGCUGGCGGCAGGCCUAACACAUGCAAGUCGAACGAAGUCUUCGGACUUAGUGGCGGACGGGUGAGUAACACGUGGGAACGUGCCUUUAGGUUCGGAAUAACUCAGGGAAACUUGUGCUAAUACCGAAUGUGCCCUUCGGGGGAAAGAGUUAUCGCCUUUAGAGCGGCCCGCGUCUGAUUAGCUAGUUGGUGAGGUAAAGGCUCACCAAGGCUACGAUCAGUAGCUGGUCUGAGAGGAUGACCAGCCACAUUGGGACUGAGACACGGCCCAAACUCCUACGGGAGGCAGCAGUGGGGAAUCUUGCGCAAUGGGCGAAAGCCUGACGCAGCCAUGCCGCGUGGAUGAUGAAGGUCUUAGGAUUGUAAAAUCCUUUCACCGGUGAAGAAAAUGACUGUAGCCGGAGAAGAAGCCCCGGCUAACUUCGUGCCAGCAGCCGCGGUAAUAC
rnacentral:rRNA from 1 species